UACGUAGGGGGCAAGCGUUGUCCGGAUUUAUUGGGCGUAAAGAGCGUGUAGGCGGCUUCACAAGUCCGCUGUGAAAACUCGAGGCUCAACCUCGAGACGUCGGCGGAAACCAUCUGGCUAGAGUCCGGAAGAGGAGAGUGGAAUUCCACGUGUAGCAGUGAAAUGCGUAGAGAUGUGGAGGAACACCGAUGGCGAAGGCAGCCUCCUGGGCCAGCACUGACGCUCAUGCACGAAAGCGUGGGGAGCAAACAGG
rnacentral:rRNA from 1 species